ACUUCCGGUCUGGGGCCUGCGGCGGCGGCGGUGGCGGCGGCGGCGGUGGUGGCGGCAGCGGGUCGGUGUAGAAAAUGGCGCUGGUGCAGCGGCUCGGGCCUCUCCCCGCGGCGCUGCGGAGGGCUUGAGGCUCGCGAGCCUCACUCGCCGCGCCCCACUUGCUCGUGCACUUUACACACAUGAGAGAAUUGGAAGCUAAAGCUACCAAAGACGUAGAAAGGAAUCUUAGCAGGGAUUUAGUGCAAGAAGAAGAACAGUUGAUGGAAGAAAAGAAAAAGAAAAAAGACGACAAGAAAAAGAAGGAAGCUGCUCAAAAGAAGGCCACUGAACAAAAAAUCAAAGUGCCAGAACAGAUAAAGCCCAGUGUAAGCCAGCCUCAGCCUGCCAACUCUAAUAACGGCACUUCCACAGCAACCAGCACUAAUAAUAAUGCCAAGCGAGCCACAGCCAACAAUCAGCAGCAGCAGCAACAGCAGCAACAACCGCAGCAGCCGCAGCAGCCACAGCAGCCGCCACAGCAGCAGCAGCAGCAGCAACAGCAGCAACAGCAGCAGCAGCAGCCGCCACAGGCCUUGCCUCGGUAUCCUCGUGAAGUACCACCUCGAUUUCGCCACCAGGAACAUAAACAGCUUCUAAAGAGGGGUCAGCAUUUUCCUGUCAUAGCAGCAAACCUGGGAUCUGCUGUUAAAGUGUUAAGCAGCCAGUCAGAAAGCAGUGCUUUAACAAAUCAACAGCCACAGAGUAACGGAGAGGUGCAGAACAGCAAAGCCCAGUCAGAUAUUAACCACAGUACUUCAGGAUCCCAUUAUGAAAAUUUGCAGCGGGGACCUGUGUCUUCUACAAGUGACUCUAGCACAAACUGUAAGAAUGCUGUUGUAAACGACUCCCCUGAAAAAGAAGCAUGGCCCUCAGUCCCUGGCAGUGAUCCAGAGUUGGCUUCAGAAUGUAUGGAUGCUGAUUCUGCUUCCAGUUCUGAAUCAGAGCGAAACAUCACUAUCAUGGCUUCAGGGAGCACAGGUGGCGAAAAAGAUGGCCUUCGGAAUAGCACUGGACUUGGAUCCCAAAACAAGUUUGUGGUUGGUAGCAGCAGCAAUAAUGUAGGCCAUGGAAGUAGUACUGGGCCAUGGGGUUUUUCCCAUGGAGCCAUAAUAAGCACAUGUCAGGUCUCUGUGGAUGCUCCUGAAAGCAAAUCAGAAAGUAGCAACAAUAGAAUGAAUGCUUGGGGCACUGUAAGUUCUUCAUCAAAUGGAGGGUUAAAUCCAAGCACUUUGAAUUCAGCUAGCAACCAUGGUGCCUGGCCAGUAUUAGAGAACAAUGGACUUGCCCUAAAAGGGCCUGUAGGGAGUGGUAGUUCUGGCAUCAAUAUUCAGUGCAGUACCUUAGGCCAGAUGCCUAACAAUCAGAGUAUUAACUCUAAAGUGGGUGGUUCUUCUACCCAUGGUACCUGGGGAAGCCUUCAGGAAACUUGUGAAUCUGAAGUAAGUGGUACACAGAAGGUUUCAUUCAGUGGUCAACCUCAAAAUAUUACCACUGAAAUGACUGGACCAAAUAACACUACUAACUUUAUGACCUCUAGUUUACCAAACUCCGGUUCAGUACAAAAUAAUGAACUGCCUAGUAAUACAGGGGCCUGGCGUGUGAGCACAAUGAAUCAUCCUCAGAUACAGGCUCCAUCGGUUAUGAAUGGCACUUCCCUUUCUCACCUUAGCAAUGGAGAGUCAAAAAGUGGAGGCUCUUACGGUACUACAUGGGGUGCCUAUGGUUCUAAUUACUCUGGAGACAAAUGUUCAAGCCCUAAUGGCCAAGCUAAUGGUGACACUGUGAAUGCAACUCUAAUGCAGCCUGGCAUAAAUGGGCCUAUGGGCACUAACUUUCAAGUUAACACAAAUAAAGGAGGAGGUGUGUGGGAGUCUGGGACAGCGAAUUCCCAGAGUGCAUCAUGGGGAAAUGGAAAUGGUGCAAAUUCUGGCGGAAGUCGAAGAGGAUGGGGAGCUCCUGCACAAAACACUGGCACUAACAUACCCAGCGUGGAAUGGAACAAACUGCCUAGCAAUCAGCAUUCCAAUGACAGUGCAAAUGGCAAUGGUAAGAAGUUUACAAAUGGAUGGAAAUCUACUGAGGAAGAGGAUCAGGGUUCUGCCACAUCUCAGACAAAUGAGCAAAACAGUGUGUGGGCCAAAACAGGAGGUACAGUGGAGAGUGAAGGUAGUACAGAAAGCACUGGACGCCUCGAGGAAAAAGGAACUGGGGAAAAUCAGAGUAGAGAUAGAAGAAAAAUUGAUCAGCACACAUUACUCCAAAGCAUUGUAAACAGAACUGACUUAGAUCCACGUGUCCUCUCCAACUCUGGUUGGGGACAGACUCCUAUUAAGCAGAAUACUGCCUGGGAUACGGAAACAUCACCUAGAGGGGAAAGAAAGACUGACAAUGGGACAGAGGCCUGGGGAAGCUCUGCAACACAGACUUUUAACUCAGGGGCAUGUAUAGAGAAGACUAGCCCUAAUAGUAAUGAUACCUCAUCUGUAUCGGGGUGGGGAGAUCCCAAACCUGCUCUGAGGUGGGGAGAUUCCAAAGGCUCAAACUGCCAGGGGGGAUGGGAAGAUGAUUCUGCUGCUACAGGAAUGGUCAAGAGCAAUCAGUGGGGGAAUUGCAAAGAAGAGAAGUCCGCAUGGAAUGAUUCGCAAAAGAACAAACAGGGAUGGGGUGAUGGACAAAAAUCAAACCAAGGGUGGUCCGUUUCUGCCGGUGAUAACUGGGGAGAAACUUCAAGGAGCAACCAUUGGGGUGAGGCUAAUAAGAAAUCUAGCUCAGGAGGUAGUGACAGUGACAGGUCCGUUUCUGGUUGGAAUGAACUUGGUAAAACUAGCUCUUUUACUUGGGGAAAUAACAUAAAUCCAAAUAAUUCAUCAGGAUGGGAUGAAUCUUCUAAAUCGAAUCCUUCCCAGGGAUGGGGGGAUCCUCCAAAGUCUAAUCAGUCUCUAGGUUGGGGAGAUUCGUCAAAGCCAGUCAGUUCUCCGGACUGGAACAAGCAACAAGACAUUGUCGGAUCAUGGGGAAUCCUGCCAGCCACAGGCAAACCUCCAGGUACAGGCUGGUUGGGAGGACCUAUACCAGCCCCAGCUAAAGAAGAAGAACCCACAGGCUGGGAGGAGCCAUCCCCAGAAUCCAUACGUCGCAAAAUGGAGAUCGAUGAUGGAACUUCAGCUUGGGGAGAUCCAAGCAAAUACAACUACAAAAAUGUGAACAUGUGGAACAAAAAUGUCCCAAAUGGCAGUAGCCGUUCAGACCAGCAAGCACAGGUACAUCAGUUGCUACCAUCUGCAAGUGCCAUCUCAAACAAAGAGGCAAGCAAUGGCUCCGGCUGGGGUGAGCCCUGGGGGGAGACCUCUACUCCCGCCACAACUGUGGAUAAUGGUACUUCAGCAUGGGGGAAACCCAUAGACAGUGGUCCCAGCUGGGGGGAACCCAUUGCUGCGGCAUCCAGCGCAUCCACGUGGGGCUCCAGCUCUGUUGGUCCACAAGCAUUAAGCAAAUCUGGGCCAAAAUCUAUGCAAGAUGGCUGGUGUGGUGAUGAUAUGCCAUUGCCUGGAAAUCGCCCCACUGGCUGGGAAGAGGAAGAAGAUGUAGAGAUUGGAAUGUGGAAUAGUAAUUCAUCUCAAGAGCUUAAUUCAUCUUUAAAUUGGCCACCAUAUACAAAGAAAAUGUCAUCUAAGGGUCUGAGUGGCAAAAAAAGGAGAAGGGAAAGGGGAAUGAUGAAAGGUGGAAACAAACAAGAAGAAGCAUGGAUAAAUCCAUUUGUUAAACAGUUUUCAAAUAUUAGUUUUUCGAGAGACUCACCAGAAGAAAAUGUACAGAGCAAUAAGAUGGACCUUUCUGGAGGAAUGUUACAAGACAAACGAAUGGAGAUAGAUAAACAUAGCCUAAAUAUUGGUGAUUACAAUCGAACGGUCGGGAAAGGCCCUGGUUCUCGGCCUCAGAUUUCCAAAGAGUCUUCCAUGGAACGCAGUCCUUAUUUUGAUAAGGAUGGCAUUGUAGCAGAUGAAUCCCAAAACAUGCAGUUUAUGUCCAGUCAAAGCAUGAAGCUUCCCCCUUCAAAUAGUGCACUACCUAACCAGGCCCUUGGCUCCAUAGCAGGGCUGGGUAUGCAAAACUUGAAUUCUGUUAGACAGAAUGGCAAUCCCAGUAUGUUUGGUGUUGGAAACACAGCAGCACAACCCCGGGGCAUGCAGCAGCCUCCAGCACAACCUCUCAGUUCAUCUCAGCCUAAUCUCCGUGCUCAAGUGCCUCCUCCAUUACUCUCCCCUCAGGUUCCAGUUUCAUUGCUGAAGUAUGCACCAAACAACGGUGGCCUGAAUCCGCUCUUUGGCCCUCAACAGGUAGCCAUGCUGAACCAGCUAUCCCAACUAAACCAGCUUUCUCAGAUCUCCCAGUUACAGCGAUUGUUAGCGCAGCAGCAAAGGGCGCAGAAUCAGAGAAGCGUGCCUUCUGGGAACCGGCAGCAGCAAGACCAGCAGGGUCGACCUCUUAGUGUGCAGCAGCAGAUGAUGCAACAGUCUCGUCAACUUGAUCCAAACCUGUUGGUGAAGCAGCAGACUCCACCAUCUCAGCAGCAGUCACUCCAUCAGCCAGCCAUGAAGUCUUUCCUUGAAAAUGUCAUGCCCCACACUACACCUGAGCUGCAAAAAGGGCCAUCACCAAUAAAUGCUUUCAGCAACUUCCCUAUAGGCUUGAACUCAAACUUGAAUGUAAAUAUGGAUAUGAACAGUAUUAAAGAGCCACAGUCAAGACUAAGGAAGUGGACUACAGUAGACAGCAUUUCUGUGAAUACAUCUUUGGAUCAAAACUCCAGCAAACAUGGUGCUAUUUCAAGUGGUUUCCGGCUGGAAGAGUCUCCAUUUGUUCCCUACGACUUUAUGAACAGCAGUACUUCACCAGCCAGUCCUCCAGGUUCAAUAGGAGAUGGCUGGCCACGUGCCAAAUCGCCUAACGGCUCUAGCAGUGUUAAUUGGCCACCAGAAUUUCGCCCUGGUGAACCAUGGAAAGGUUAUCCAAACAUUGACCCUGAAACUGACCCUUACGUCACUCCUGGCAGUGUCAUAAACAAUCUUUCAAUUAAUACUGUGCGGGAAGUUGACCACCUCAGGGACAGGAACAGUGGGUCAUCCUCAUCCUUGAACACCACGCUGCCUUCAACUAGUGCCUGGUCAUCCAUUCGUGCCUCCAACUACAACGUUCCCCUCAGCAGUACAGCACAAAGCACUUCAGCCAGAAAUAGUGAUUCCAAAUUGACAUGGUCUCCUGGUUCAGUUACAAACACCUCUCUGGCUCAUGAGCUGUGGAAGGUCCCUUUGCCACCUAAAAACAUCACUGCUCCGUCCCGCCCACCUCCGGGACUGACUGGUCAGAAGCCACCCUUGUCUACGUGGGAUAAUUCUCCCCUUCGUGUAGGUGGAGGAUGGGGAAAUUCUGACGCCAGGUAUACCCCAGGUUCCAGCUGGGGUGAGAGCAGCUCAGGGAGAAUAACAAAUUGGCUUGUUCUAAAAAACCUUACACCUCAGGGAGCAGUGCCUUCAUGAGUCCUGUCCUCAGGGCAGGGAAGACGGAAGACAGGAAGCCACAGCAGGGGCAGUGACUAAGGAAUUGGGGCUCUGGGGAGUGUCCAGGAGUCUAGAGGCCACAGAGAUCGAUGGCUCAACUCUGCGUACUCUGUGCAUGCAGCAUGGCCCACUGAUAACAUUCCACCUGAACCUCCCACAUGGAAAUGCUUUGGUCCGUUACAGUUCAAAAGAAGAGGUAGUGAAGGCACAAAAGUCUCUGCACAUGUGUGUACUGGGGAACACUACUAUUCUUGCUGAGUUUGCCAGUGAAGAGGAGAUCAGUCGUUUCUUUGCACAAAGUCAGUCUCUGACCCCUUCUCCCAGCUGGCAGUCUCUCGGGUCCAGCCAGAGCCGGCUGGGCUCCCUCGACUGUUCCCACUCAUUCUCCAGCCGGACCGAUCUCAAUCACUGGAAUGGUGCUGGGCUGUCGGGAACUAACUGUGGAGACCUUCAUGGCACUUCCCUCUGGGGGACCCCACAUUAUUCCACAAGCCUGUGGGGUCCUCCGAGCAGCAGCGACCCCCGGGGAAUUAGCAGCCCAUCCCCCAUUAAUGCUUUUCUUUCUGUUGACCACCUGGGUGGGGGUGGAGAGUCCAUGUAACAGUGUAGACUAGACUCCCGGACUGCGACCUCAAGAUGAGAAAGAAAGGAGCACUAAGUCGGGCUCGCCGCCUGCAGCCAGGGGCCACCUGUGGGAACAGCUAUUCUCUGCACAUUUUCCACUUUGUUUUCCCUGAAACAUAUCAGUUUGAAUACUUGAAUCAUGCAGGCCAAUAUUAUAAUGUGAAAAGGUAUCUAUCUAUUUACACUCCCAAAUAGCGCCAUACAUGCUAAACCGUAUAGAAUGAGCUCACUUGUGUAUAUUCAUCAUGUUUAGCCUUUGAGUUCUUUUUUUUUUCCCCCUUUCUAGCCCCUCCCCCUCCCUCCAUUCAUUCUUUCUCUUUUCUUUUUUCUUUUUGCAAAACCAUUUUUUGGGCUGAUAAUGAAUGAGCUUUUAACUUUGCACUGAAUGAUGUUCUCUCCGUCUAAUCGGCAAUAUGGGGGGGCAGCUGUUCCAGUGUAAAUGUUUACUCAAGGAUGUUCUUAAAAGGUGUGCGCUCUCUACUAUGCCUUGAUGUUUGCCUACCUUAUUGUGGUAUCGUGGAGUUUAAAAGAUCAAGUUAUGAUACUGACUUAGGACUAUAAAUGAAAGUAUUGCACCAGUUUUUUCAUGUUGUAAAACUAAAGAAUUUCGCUCUGCAGUUUGAAAAACUGUGGCCACAGCUGUGACUUGCAGCCCACCUGCCACCCAGGACGGGCCCUGCACUUUGAAUAGGCUUUCCAUUUUGUUUUGAAGGUUCCCACAUUGAACCUUCUUGUUUACAGAUUUUUUUGUUUUGUUUUUUGAGAAAAAAAAAAUGUUUACUCUUCCAUCAUUUAAAAAAAAAUAAUUAAAAGACAAAAAAAAAAAUGGAGGAUGAUUUAAAAGAUGCUUUCUAUCUCUGGGAAAAAGGAGCAGCAUUUGGCCAUGUUCUUUUGUUUUUCUAUUCCUGUCCUAAAUCAAAGAGCAUGGUUCUCAGGAAAACCAGUUCCCCAGUUUAAAAAAAAAAAAAAAAAGGAAAAAAAAGGAAAAAAAAAAAAACAAAAACAAACAAAAAAAAAACCAACCUCCUUGUAGUUUCUUAUAGGAAAGAAAGAAAAACCCCAACUUUUAGCACUGAUACUACAUAUUGCUCUGUUAAAGAAUUUUCUCUGCCAAAAAAAAGAAAAAAGAAAAAAAAAAACAACAAAAAAAACGCUUAAAGCUGGAGUUUGAGAUUCUGCUUUCAGAUGCUGUCUUUUUAUUAGUGAGUGAUGAUGGUUUGCUAAUAAUCAGUAGGUAUAAUUUUUGUAAUCCCAUCAAGUGGCUCUCUAUGUUUCUGCUCUCUCGUGACUGUGUUCAUGUCUAACUGUUGUACCUUAAAGCCGAAAUCCGUAACUAUGCAUACUGUAACCAAGGUAUUGGGCCUACAGAAUUGUUCGUUGUAUAAAAAAAAUUUUAAAUGUUGUUGCGAACUAACGAGUUACACCAUUUUUAAAAUUUCUUUCUCUCCUCCCUUCCUUUGUUUUUGUUUUUGUUUUUUUUUUCUUUGCCCACAAAUGGUAUUAUAAUGCUUGCUUAGUCAAAGAAGAGAGACUAAACAAGGGUAAAAAUUUUAACAGUACAGAAUUUGCCAUCAUUUCAUUGCCUUGAUUCUAACUGUUUGUGUCCUAAGAUGCAAAAGAAGUCAGUGGCUUUUAACUGUUUACAAAUAGAAUGUGAUUGUAAAAUGUACAGUUUGGUUGUGUUUGAAUUAUGAAAUUUCUUCAGAUAUAAUAAACCAUGACUUUUUGGCUGCUCAACAUUAAUUGUCUCUUUUUUGUGAAUUUAUUUGUACGCUCUUUUUUAUAAUGAACGUUUCAACGUUGCUAUGUAUGAGGGUUCUCAUAGAGCAACCGAGUAAAAAUCUAAGCAAAUAUUUGAACAUUUUAUCCGAACUGAUUCACAAUUUCACCCUGAAAUAAUGUGAGAACAAUGGGAAACUGUAGCUUGCUCCUUCCUACCCUCUUUGAGCAUCUUUGGGAUCUGGUUGCUCAAAACUCUUCCGUGACUUCAUCUUCCCCACCAUUUGUGCCCAUCUCAAGCCUCAGCAAGAGACCAUUUGGAACAUGAAGCUUAAUGACUUGACAGUGUUCUAGUGUUAAACUCUCAUACCUCUGUUACAAAAUGAGAAACGCCACAGCCCGGACUGGCCUUUGCUUCCCCCUUCACCGCCCUCGCUCCUCACUGCCGGGAGCCCGGGGGGCAACUCCUGUGUAUGUAUUUCAGUGUAUGACUUCAAAUCAUGCUCCAACUUGCCAGAUGUAAGCUAAUGUUGUUGGACACCUUAAUAGAAGCAAAUGUUGUUCAAUGCAGUCAAUGUAUAUGGACUUCCAUACUGGUUUUUCCAAAAACCAAAGGUAGCUUUGAAAAACCACGUCUGGAAAUGUUUGGAACGUUAAGCUGAUUGACCUUUUGGGGGCUUUGAGUAGUAUAUAAUUGACUUCAUAACUGCGUUCAUUGUAUCGUUAAAGUGUUUGGGAAUUUUUUGCGCUUGUUAUGUGACAAUAAAGUGUUUGAUUUUAAAAAAA